UUUAAAUGACUUAUUUAAGCCUAAUUGCGUUCGUAAUAUCACCUAAAUCUAAUUAGUUAUAAUUUUUAAUCAUAUAAAAUGAAUCGUAUGUUUCUUAAAAAUUUAUUUUGUCUCACGAGUUUAAUUAAAAUUAUUCAAUACGCUUAUCUGUAUGUGUCAGUGGUAUACUUUGCAAUUUGAAUGGUUUUUCGAUAACAGCUCAUUCGUAAUAUCAUCCUAAACCUAGUUAGUUAUAAAUGUUAAUAACUUUAUCCGUUUUUAAUCGAAUAUUGAAAAUGAAUUGUAUGUUUCUUGAAAAUUCAUUUUGUCUCAUGGGAUAAAUAAAAUCAUUCCUUCUCUGUAUGUGUCACUUUUCAAUUUGAAUGGUUUUCCGAUAACAGCUGCUUCCUCUAACCGACCCUUAAAAACGUUCUCAUUGAAUGCCGGGAUCUAUAAAAGCGGCUUUAAAUAGGCAUUCAUAAAUUAAGGGUAAAAAGAAUUUAUGUUUCUGAGGAUUGUUGGUUCAUCCCUUCGAAGAAGAGAAAAAGGGGGAGAAUGUCUGUUUUCAUGUCUCCUUUGCAAUAUGACACUUGGCAUAAUAAGCCUUCUCACGUGACGAUGUUCCAGUUGCUGUUUCGUCUCUGAAUUUUGUAGCUUCUAUCCUUUCAACUACUCAAACAGAAACGCAUCUGUGUUCAAUGCCUCACUUUGGAUUCUCUGCAAAAUUCUAUCAAUGAAAUCCUUGUUGCUCUGCUUUUUCACGGAAGUGAUAGGAUCUGCCUUUACAAAACAAGGCUGGCUGCCUUUACAAAACAAGGCUGGAAAAAGCUAUCGAGGAUGAAUCAUCGCUCGCAAAUCAAGAGUUGAAGGCGUUAUCAAACUAAGGAUAAUCAGGAAACAUCAAUAAACAGACAACAAGACUGAAAGACUGAACAAGACUGGGAAAGACUGAAACAAGAACAAUGAAGAGGAAUUGUCGAUUUCAAGAGGAAUCUUUCUACAUUUCUACAUUCUUUUAUGGUCUAAGUUACUACACCUGUCAUCAUUUUAAAAAGUUCUUCGUGGAUAUAGUGAAAGAAAAUGUUACCUAUGUUUUGUGGAAUAUAAUUUGUGGAAUUCAAAAGAUUAUCUCUGAAAUUAGGAAUUAGUUCUGAAAAAGUGUCAUCAACAGGAUUGCAACAUAUGAUCUCAUGAUCUCGUUAAUAUUCUUCUGGAAAAAAGAAUGAAAACUGACCAUUCAGAUGCUGCAGUAUCAUUGAAUCUAGACCCAGAAUCUGAAGUUAGCUUGAUGACGAACUAUAAAAAUAUAAGUAUACUUUUAAUUUAAAAAAUAUGUAGUAAGAAAAAUUUUAUAGUUAUUCAUUUAGAUUCAUAAUACAUACCUAAUACUUAAAUUAACAUAAAUGGGUAAUUUUUUCUUAAUUAAAAAUAUUGGAGCGAUAUAUUUAUCUUCUUUAUAUCUUUAUAUCGUCUACUCUUUUGCACCACAAAAUGACAGUAGAUAAGCAAGGAGGGUAGCUAGAAUCAGAAAGGCAAAAGUAAUAGAUAAAACAAUAAAUUAAUUUAUUUUUACUAAUCUAAUUAUCCUAUCGAGGAAUAUUUGGUAAAUACAAGAAAACUACCUUCAAAGAAAAAAGAAUAUUUGUGAAUCCUUUCUCUGGCAUCAUAUCGCUGCAUAAUUAUAUAAUCUGCAUUACGCUAAUUAAGUACAUUAAAGGCACAAAACACAUGGAAUGAUUUAUUUCCAUCUUAAACAAAAGAUAUAACUUAUAAACCUCAUUCAUAACACCUCAGAAAUUAAAGAUACAAAAGAGAUUUUAAUUGUUGAAAGAUUCACAAAUAAUUUGCAGCGCUUUUGUACCUUCAAAGCAAUAUAAUUCAACACAAUCUACUGUGAGUUCGUAACUUUUAUCUAUUACUGUUAGGUUAAGUUUUGUCCUUCUCUCGCCAGUGCACUAUGCUGAUUUUAAAAAAAGGACCCAAAAUAUCAAUAUUUUUUUAAUAUCAAUAUUUUGGGAUUGACUGAUUAUAUCAGAAAAAUGAAUACACGGUAUCGCCUAAAGGCAUACUGUAUAAAAAGGUACACAAAUAAAAAUAAUCCUGGACAAAAUAUCCGAUAUAAAACCAAUAUAUGAGAAAACAAAAAUAGGCACAUACCCUAAAUAGGGAAACUGGUCACUUGUCCAACGCAACAGCUGACCGACAGUCAGAGAAAAACAUGUCCAAUAAAGUGGACCAUAACCUCCAACAGCUACGCAACUCUCACAUCAGUGUUUCAUACUAUUUCGGUCCAAGGGCGUCCCAUACGUUUUUGAAGGGGUAGGAGAACAAAGCAGAUCACACCAAUCAUUAAAUAUCCUUCUAUUGGAGAUAUUCGUCCGCCAAAUGAGAGGACGGGCAUUAUCACCUUGUACUGCUGAUCUGUAAGAGUACCUCUAUCGGACAUACGAAAGUCUGCCAUGAUGCCUGCUCAUACCACCUCGAUCAUAGUGGUCCUUUUUGAUAUUGUUAGAGAGCCGAUAUCGACUCCCGGGUUCUCUUCAGAUGAGAACGUGUCUCUAAUUGCUGUCCAGACAGACUCAUCACUGAAGAGCCCCAAUCAUCCUCUGUCCAAGACAAGUGUUCUUGGCACCAUACUUUCUGUCGUUCACACUCAGAGAGAUGCAGACUACAGGGCUAUAUUAAAUAUUUGUGUGACAUCCAUUAAAAGGAUGUUAUAUUGGUUGAGAGAUAGUUUUGUUGUUGUUUUGAACCUAUCUCUUUUGGCUAGAAGUCUCAAAUAACGACCCGCAUUGUUGCCCUUUUUGUGGUGGACUACUGUUUCUGUCUCUGUCAACACCAAUUUUCUCGAUAUCCCAAAGUCCCUUCAACAGAUAGAUUUGAUUGGUCCGCUUCGAGUCUUCCAACUGUCCGCCAUCUUGACGACGAAUGUUAACAGGGAUUGGACUAAACUACAUUGUUUCAAAACGCCCUUACUGUAUAAGUUUCAGUGAGAAAAUGUGGUACUUCUAUCCAAGCGAGAUCACAGUGCCACUGUCUGCUGACGUCAUAGGCCACUGAGUGGCAGAGGUGUCUUCGAAGAACUUAGCUAUUAUUUGAAAUCUUAUUUGCUUAUAGGCAUUGCUUACGUUAUUCUUUGUUUUUAAAGAGAAAAAAAACGCUCCUCCCUAUAAUUGUUUUCAUCAGGGUAGAAUAGUGGAUAUUUUCCAUUAUUGGCCAACACUACAGUUUUAAAAAUUGCAAUUAAACGAUCGAUACAAAGAUAUUAUUUUUUCAUAUUCUAGGUAUGUUCUCAAAAUAAAUAGUGGAUCCAAUACCCAAUGGGUUAAUCAUUAUUCAUCUAUAACUAUAAAAGUAACCUUCAUAAGUAGAACAUGGUACAAGGAUGGCUAGAUCAACUGUACAUUUUCUUGAUAUGGCUUAUAUAUUGAUUUUCGCUAUCUCCUGUUUCUUUGAUCAGUAAAAUCGUUUUAAUGGAAAUACAUUUUCUUUCUUCUAUGAAACGGCAUCGUUAACUGAGCAUUGUCACUAGACUGUUUUAUGAAAUAAAAAUAAAAGAAACUUUCGGUUUAAUCGAAUAGAAAAUAAAUACCUAAUAUUCUAGUAAUGUAAUUUGCAGGAAAAAAAUGAUGAAGGCGAGAAUUUAAUAAUUUGAGCUGGGGUGGUGUGAAACUUUAAAUUAAAUUUGUACUAUCUUGCUCAUGUCUCUUUGUAAUAAGAAAUUUUUAUUGUUAAUUUUUUUAAUUAUGAUUUUUCACGUAAGCUGCUAUUUUCCUACCAUGUUUAACAGUUUUUUGUUGUACUACUUGCAUUGCUGUAUCACUUGAUUAUUAAAGGUUGUGAGUAAUAGACUCUUGGUUUUCCAAAAACAGUGUGAGAUUAGUAAGAUUAAAAAACAAUGCCCCUGUUUUUUUUUUUUUUUGUUUUUUUUUGCAAUGCAUUUUGUGAAAGUAUUAAAUUAGUAGUUUUUUUUAAUUUAGUUAACUUAGUUUCAAAAUAAUUCCGAUAUCCUCAUAGAAUUUACCGACUAACUAACUUGUGUUUCAAAAUUAUAUGUAAUAUUAUUAUAUUGUUCUAACUGUUUAGUUAAAUAACAAAAAAGAAAAACUGAUUUUCUAUACUACAAACCAACCAGGUUAAAUGACAAAGCAAUUUAGAUUGUGUGUUCAAGGAACAAGUGUCUUAAUGUAGUAAACAAAUAUAUUGUAACUGAAAAACUUUUAAUAUAAAUUUAUUACUAGAUCCUCUAUGAAAGAUGCAGUAAAAUGAUUUAAGUAAAUAAAAAUUUACUUAUCAGGUGCUAAUGACUGCCUAUCAUGCGUAUUCAUAGAAUCCUUUUCAAAAAUUAAAUAAAAAAAAGUGUUAAUAUUAUUGAAAUGAAAAUAAAAAUAAAUAUUGGAGAGAUUAAAGUGCAAAAAUCACGCAAAACCUAACGAGUCACUAUUGAGUAAGGCGAAAUGAGAGCACUUAAAACCUAUUGGAUGUCUGAGGGAAGCAAAGAUAAGUUGAAAGCCUAUUAUUGGAAGAUCCUUCAAAUUUCCUCAGGCAAUAAAACUGGUUUUGACGUUUUCAUUCCCUCAUCACUAGUGGUUCGACUGGUUUCGAUGACAUUUUCCCCUCUCAAAAAUAUUAAUUUGCGAACCCCCGAUCUGUAUAUAAUUUACCAUUGAUUAGUAGUUAGAAAUUUUUAAUGAUUUUUGAUGAUUUUGUAAUCUAUGCAAUUAAAUAAGAUUUUAUUUUCUUCUUCUAGAUAUGAAGUUUUGGCUUGGUUCCACAAAUACUUAUGUAGGUAUUGCACAUGGUUAUGAUUUCAACACAUUUUAAGAUCAUUAUAAUAAUUCUGUAUUUUAUGCCAGAUAAUAAAUUAUAUUAAUUGAA